rnacentral:rRNA from 1 species
AGUGAACGCUGGCGGUAGGCCUAACACAUGCGAGUCGAACGGCAGCACAGUAAGAGCUUGCUCUUACGGGUGGCGAGUGGCGGACGGGUGAGGAAUACAUCGGAAUCUACUUUUUCGUGGGGGAUAACGUAGGGAAACUUACGCUAAUACCGCAUACGACCUACGGGUGAAAGCAGGGGAUCUUCGGACCUUGCGCGAUUGAAUGAGCCGAUGUCGGAUUAGCUAGUUGGCGGGGUAAAGGCCCACCAAGGCGACGAUCCGUAACUGGUCUGAGAGGAUGAUCAGCCACACUGGAACUGAGACACGGUCCAGACUCCUACGGGAGGCAGCAGUGGGGAAUAUUGGACAAUGGGCGCAAGCCUGAUCCAGCCAUACCGCGUGGGUGAAGAAGGCCUUCGGGUUGUAAAGCCCUUUUGUUGGGAGAGAAAAGCAGCAGGUUAAUACCCCGCUGUUCUGACGGUACCCAAAGAAUAAGCACCGGCUAACUUCGUG